rnacentral:rRNA from 1 species
AGCCUUUAGCUCACCAAGUAUUAAAGGUCCUGCCUGCCCAGUGAAACUUUUAACGGCCGCGGUAUCCUAACCGUGCAAAGGUAGCGUAAUCACUUGUCUUCUAAAUAAAGACUCGUAUGAACGGCUAAAUGAGGACCUAACUGUCUCCUACGACCAAUUAAUGAAACUGAUCUUUCAGUCCAAAAGCUGAAAUACAAACAUAAGACGAGAAGACCCUGUGGAGCUUUUUAACCUAGAUACUAUACCCACCACAUAUUCCACCAGUAAUAGUACCUCGUUUAAGUUGGGGCAACUAUGGAAAAAGAAAAACUUCCACAUCCCCCAGGGACAACCCCCCUCCCUCCCAGACUAACCGGUCAAACACUAAACACAUGACCCAGUCCUACUGAUCAAUGAACCAAGUUACCCCAGGGAUAACAGCGCAAUCCCCUUUCAGAGUUCCUAUCGCCAAGGGGGCUUACGACCUCGAUGUUGGAUCAGGACACCCAAAUAGUGCAGCAACUAUUAACGGUUCGUUUGUUCAACGAUUAACAGUCCU